GGCGAGAUGCAGGAGUGUCCUUCUGUGUGAGCUCAUCUUUCCUGGGGUGGCGGGGCUCAGGGCUGAGCGGGCUGGGGAGACGAGUUGGAAAAUUUCACACUCAGCCUCGCCACUUGGCCAGCUUCUGCGUGUUUGGCAGCUCAGGUGACUUGUGGUGGGGGCCCUCGAUCAACACUUCCAUCCCGCUGAAUUCCUAGAAGACAGGAAUUUAUGGUGUGAGAGCUCCAGUCCCCGCAGACCCACUGCCAAGGUCAACAGCACGAGGCGGGCAUCCCUGCCAAGUGGGGAGUGGAGUCGUGGC
rnacentral:lncRNA from 1 species